AGCAGCGUGGCUUAGUGGAAAGAGCCCGGGCUUGGGAGUCAGAGGUCAUGGGUUCAAAUCCCGGCUCUGCCA
rnacentral:tRNA from 1 species